GACACGUUUAAUUUGAUUCAUAGUUUAUCGGUAUGUAUUUAUAUAAAUUGUACUUUCCGAUGUAGGAGGACAUGUUUUAUCGUUGAACGUUAUUGAAAUAUUUUUGAAUGUCAAUAUGAAUGUUAUUUCAAAAUCUCUUUCAUUCGUUAUUUUAAUAUUUGAAAUUAUAUUAUUUUAUAAUUCGAUAAGAUUCGUAACAAUUCAUUAUACUUGUUACGAAUUACAAUAAAUAUUAAGAUUCUUUAACAAGAUAUUUUAAUUUCAACAUACACAAGAUAUAUAAAGACAUUUCGAUAUAUUUUUCUUUCAUCAUCAUCCGACGGCUAACAAUACCAACCGCAUUAUAACGAAAUAGAAACAUUCGCGAGUGUUAUGAGAACUAAAGAAUGAUAUUCCUUAGAAAGAAAGUCGUCCGCACAUAUAUAGAGUUGAAAAAUGAAAAUACUAAUCAAGAUGGAGCAUCUCAACAAAUGUUUCUGGCAAAAGGGAAGAAAGAAGAAAGAAUGAGAAAGAGAAAGAGAAAGAGAAAAAGAGAGAGAGAGAGAGAGAGAGAGAGAGAGAGAUGAAGGAAAAGGAUUUACGAAAGCAGUGCGUACCACGUGUGCGUCAUAAAUCAUUUGGCUGACUCCUCUAAUUAUAAGUAUGACUAUCGCCGCUAUCGCAUCGUCGCGCGUAUAAUGCCCGAAGGCUGAAUAACAGUGAGCUUCACCGCGAUAACCGUGUCUUUUUCUUCGAGAGAGAGAGAGAGAGAGAGAGAGAGAGAGAGAGAGAGAGAGAGAGAGAGCAAAAGAAGAAGACGAAGGAUAUGGAGAAGAUGAAGAGAGGACGAGAAAAGGAAUAAGAAAAAUAAAAAGAAAAAUCAAAGGAAAAGAAACGAAUGAAAAGAAGAAGAAGAAGAAGAGUCACGCAAAAAGGGCCGACAGAUGAAUUCCACCGUACGAAGAAUGAAGACUCCCCGUGUACAGAGAAACGCUUUGAUUUCCACACAUGGUUCCUUUUCCAUGAAACUUUUCAUCCUGAUGUUCGGUGGAUCAGAAAAAAAGAUAAACUAAGUGUCGUGCGUCCUACCACGACAACGAAACAGGACAUAGAAUUAAGCAAACUACCUGGAUGACACCUGGAAUGACGUAUUGCAGGAAAGUGAGCGGAGUUUAUAUUUUACGAGGUUGCCUCGUAAAUAGCUUCGUAGCUUAACAACCGAACACCUCGAGGACAAGAGCCGCACGUUACCCCAAGCAGUGCCGUAACACGCGACACCCUCAUGAACACCUUCUGCUAUUCUCGAGUCAUCUUUAUUAUCGCCAAUUUAUUACUCUUUUAUAGCAGUCAUGCCUGUUCACAAUCUUUCGGUAUAUUCUUAAAAGAUCUUAAAACUUACUUUCUCUAAAGGUCCUAAGACAUAUUUAUUAAUAUUAAUUUCAUAGACCUUAAUAAUAAAAAGAAUAUUAUGGUCAUAUAUUUGCUGUCAGUUGGGUACUGUCAUCAGUGAAGGUACAAAGGAAAAGAGAAAAAUUAUUUAAAAUAAAAUCCAGGAUUUUACUUUUUCCAAAUUUCUUCGUGUAUGAAACUUUUAAGAAUGUAGGAUCAUAAAACUUUCUCUUUGCGCAUUUUGAACAAACGUAAGAUUUACGUUCGACUUACAUGUAACAUUGGAAAUUUACAACGGUCCCCAACAAUAUCGACCGUAACGACCUUUUAAAUUUUAAAAAGCAUCUUGAAAGUUUGUUUCUAUUUCUAUACAAUUCAUUGUAUAAGUAACAUGUCAGCUUCUUAAAAGGUCACUAAAGGAUAAUCAGGUAACAAAAAGAGAAAGGAAAGAAAAAAGAAAGAAAGAAAGGAAAAGAAAAAGGAAAGAAGAUAGAAAUGUACAAAGAUUUAAAAUUAUUUUCUUGAAAAUAUUUUCUUUAAAAUUACUUUCUUGAAAAUUAUUUAUUUAAUAUUUAUAUAUGUACGUACGAAGUAUGAGGAUAAAAAAAAAUUGUGAAAUUAUUCGAUAGUACGAUUUGAAUCACGCACAUUGUAUUUAUCGUAUAGAAUUCUUUCAUAUGUGACAAAAUUUAAGCAUGAAGCAAUGAAUUUGCUAAUUACUUAAGGUUCACCCGAAUUAAACGGAACGAUUUUCGUCGAGACCGCUGAAUAAAAUUGGGGAUCCAUGUUCCGUGAAAUGAAUCAUACGUUCAAAGGACGACAUAUGUGCCCCUGUUUCCUUUUCGUUCGCUGAAAAAGGCAAUGGGGAAACUUUGAUACCCAAGAGGAGAAGGGGAGGGGGCGGUUCUCCAGCAUCCAUUUGGAAAAAUUGGGAAUAUCGGGAUCAAGCCAGACGGUUUGCUCGCUAUUAUUCUCAGAUUGAUUUAUAUUUUGUUUGUUCUGUACGGUACCACUACUGUUAUAAUACUGACUUUUCCGAUCUAUGGAUCUGUCUAUUAGCGAAAAGACCGAUAAAACGUUUGGUAAAAACUUUCAAUCAUUAUAUUGUUCGAUUUGACAGUGUUCGAUUUUAUAUAAGCUUUUUAAAAUCCAAUGUUGCAAACUCGAAAGGAUAGAUCAUUAAACAAAUCAUAUGGAUACGUAUAGAAUCAAGGAUUUUAUUGAAUCUUCUCAAACAAAACGGGAGAAUCUUAAGGAAAAUAAAAGCUAAAUAAAUAUUUAAAUGGAUAUGGUUUGGGUAUAUAAUAUAGAACAGAUUUCUUAAAAUUUUAAUAAUUCAUAUUUAUU